rnacentral:ncRNA from 2 species
GUAGCUUGCGCGGAUUCGGGUUCCAUGAAGGCCAAGCCUUUGGGAUGAAAAGGGAACACGGUAGGGACGACCCAAUAAAGGGGCCCGAUCCGUGGCUGCCCUCGCAACUGUGAGCGUGAGCCGCAUCCACAAUGCCACUGGGGAAACCCGGGAAGGCGGAUGCCGGCAAUCAAGCGCGAGCCAGGAGACCUGCCCGGAUUUCGGGGAAGCA